rnacentral:hammerhead_ribozyme from 1 species
GCACUGCUGAGGAGUCCCAUACUAGGUCGAAACGACCGUCCAGUGC